GACGAACGCUGGCGGCGUGCUUAACACAUGCAAGUCGAACGGAAAGGCCCUGCUUUUGUGGGGUGCUCGAGUGGCGAACGGGUGAGUAACACGUGAGUAACCUGCCCUUGACUUUGGGAUAACUUCAGGAAACUGGGGCUAAUACCGGAUAGGAGCUCCUGCUGCAUGGUGGGGGUUGGAAAGUUUCGGCGGUUGGGGAUGGACUCGCGGCUUAUCAGCUUGUUGGUGGGGUAGUGGCUUACCAAGGCUUUGACGGGUAGCCGGCAUGAGAGGGUGACCGGCCACAUUGGGACUGAGAUACGGCCCAGACGCCUACGGGAGGCAGCAGUGGGGAAUAUUGCAGAAUGGGCGGAAGCCUGAUGCAGCAACGCCGCGUGCGGGAUGACGGCCUUCGGGUUGUAAACCGCUUUCGCCUGUGACGAAGCGUGAGUGACGGUAAUGGGUAAAGAAGCACCGGCUAACUACGUG
rnacentral:rRNA from 1 species